rnacentral:piRNA from 1 species
UCAGGAUCAAAGGAGACUGGCAGCAG